AUCCUUUUGCUGUUACGUAUAAGGAUUGGGUUUUCAUCCCUAUGAGUGAGAUGCAGGCCCUCUAACAUUAUUACAUGUCAGCGCAUUACCCAACUGACA